AGCCUCGAGACAAAGGAGCAACAUGUUUUGAAAACUCACAGUCAUGUACUAAUGAUGCAGUGGUUGACUCCGACUUUCAAAGCAUAAAUACUUCAAGUUCUCAACCACUGUCACAAAUAUCGUCAUGGAGUGAGGAAAACAUUGAUACAGUUCUGACUGAUUUGAAUGAUGCCAUAGAUGUUUUAGGUCAUGGACAAAUCAGUCCAAUAAAGUACAGAGUAAGACGUGAUUUAGACUUGUUGCAGCCUUCUUCAUUACGCACAGUCAAAAGAAAAGCAGGAGAAACUAUAAAUUUAUUUCUAGAUGCAAUUGCACCUGGGCAAAGUACCAAAUUAUUAAAGAUUCUACAAGAGCCAGACAGUAAGGAUGACACUGGAAAUUUACAUGAAGUGGUAUUAAAUUUGUACAUGGAGAGCUCAGACAGAAG